GGAUUUUGUAUGAUACUAGCAAAGAGUAUAUUAAGAGGGCUAUCACAAAUUUUCGAGUUUUAUACGAGUUUUGAUGCGUCAUUAUGCUUUGGAUAUAGUCACAAAAAAAAAACAAAAAUAAGAUUAAGAAAGUUUGAUCAUUUAUCUUGGGUCUGUUUUCAAUAAAUAUUUUAAUUUGUCCACGUACAUCAGUAAAAUCUUUGUCUCUGCAAAGGAUGUUUCAUAAAAUGUUGCUUUUGGGCAUCUUUUGAUGCUUCAGUACUACGAGGAUAUAGCAAUUUAACCAUUUAUAAAAAUGUUCAAGAUACAACUAUAUCUUGUACUUGUGCUUGCUUACACCAAUUUAUUACAAUUCAUACAGUAAUACACCAAAAAUAAUUCUACAAAACUGAGAGUUACUGACAAUUUUCCGUACAAAACUAUAUUUUUUAUCUAUGAAAGUAUAAUCCAAAUUCAAAUAAAAAAUAUUUAAUAAUUAAGGUGGUAUUGUUAUAAAGCUUGAAAAAAAAAUGGCCUAUUUAAAAGUAAAACAAUAUUUUAAAAUAAUUUUUGUUUGCAAUGCAAAGAAUCAAUAUAAAUCUUGUGACGCGCGGUGUUCAACUUUAGUCAGCGCCAAGCGCUUACCGAGGAGGGACGUAUCGCUCGCUGUUGCGCCGCGUAAACUCGCCGGAGUUCGAAAAAUAUAGCGCAACCUACGCAUCUAACACGUUUUGAUACUAGAUAAUGAAAGCAUAUUUAAUUCAGAUUAUCAGACUCAAUCGGAUACCAGUACAAAUAUGGAAAAUGAAGAUACAAUACAUGGAUGACGAAUUAUAGAUUUUAGUUUUUUUUAUAAAUCAAUUACUUAUACCUAAUUGAUAAACAUGGUGUAAAGUUUGGUUGUCGAUUAAAUAAUUUGAAAAUUGUAAACGAUUUUGUUUAUUGUAACUCAAUCGAGCUAUUCUAGGUUAUAAAAUUCAUCGGUACAAAUAAUAUUCCAUAAACUAUAAAACCAAUAAACUAUUUCGAAAAUAAAAGUGGCAAAGUCUCAAGUUUGUUUGUGCCGCGUGGCGGUCCGCAGGUGUGCGUUGCGUAUUUCACUAGACGCACACGCACGCAAGUGCUGCCGGCUAUCGUCUAAUUUACCUAAACCUGAGCGAUUCGAUUUUGUAAUAGCGCUCUUAA